ACAGUAGCAUGAAUCAGAGAGGGUCUGGUGCAGCCACUGCUGUGAAUGUAAGCCUAUGUAAUGUUCUGAAGACUCUUCCUUAUAACAGCUUCAGCAGAGAUGAGCCUUUUGUUUGGUUGGUAGACUUAAAUUCUCCAAAGAGCCAAAACCAAGGAUUAUAUCUACUGACCUCAAAUUCAGACUACAAAUUGUGGAAAGGCAAUGCAGAAUGCUUCGCUAUUCAAUCUUCAGGCCUGGGAAACAUUGCAGAUUGUCCAUGUUCUAGGAAGUUGCCAUGUCAUGUUGGGACCCAUCUGUCCCCAUCCGACCCCCAUCCCACUCCAUCCCAUCCCACCUCUUCUUUACCAGGGAUGGUGCUGGAGGAAGAAAGCUGAGUCAGGAUGACACAGAGAAGCUGAAGAAACUCUUUUUAGAUGAGUCUAAUUCACCAAACUGGCACAAAAAUAGAGAUCAGAGAGGCUUCCCAUAACCAAAAUAAUUGUUCUAAAUAUUAUAAAUCGACAUGUUACUUUGUCAUUUAUUGAGCACUUAUGGGGUUCUUACAAAGUGCCAGCACUGUCCUAAACUGCUUAGAGGUAGGCGCUCAUCCCACUCAACUUGCCCAGUGUCAGCCAUCUAACAUGUUGUUGAGCUGGGACAUAAACACAUAAACACAGGCUCCUGAUUACAGAGCCUAUGGCCCUAACCAGUGCACACUCCCACCUCUAAUGACCAAAUGC